AGCAGUCGCCGCGGUAAUACGUAGGUGGCAAGCGUUGUCCGGAUUUAUUGGGCGUAAAGCGAGCGCAGGCGGUUAGAUAAGUCUGAAGUUAAAGGCUGUGGCUUAACCAUAGUACGCUUUGGAAACUGUUUAACUUGAGUGCAAGAGGGGAGAGUGGAAUUCCAUGUGUAGCGGUGAAAUGCGUAGAUAUAUGGAGGAACACCGGUGGCGAAAGCGGCUCUCUGGCUUGUAACUGACGCUGAGGCUCGAAAGCGUGGGGAGCAAACAGGAUUAGAUACCCCAGUAGUCCCUGUCUCUUAUACA
rnacentral:rRNA from 1 species